rnacentral:rRNA from 1 species
UACGAAGGGGGCUAGCGUUGCUCGGAAUCACUGGGCGUAAAGCGCACGUAGGCGGUUUCCUAAGUCAGGGGUGAAAUCCUGGAGCUCAACUCCAGAACUGCCUUUGAUACUGGCGGACUUGAGUCCGGGAGAGGUGAGUGGAACUGCGAGUGUAGAGGUGAAAUUCGUAGAUAUUCGCAAGAACACCAGUGGCGAAGGCGGCUCACUGGCCCGGUACUGACGCUGAGGUGCGAAAGCGUGGGGAGCGAACAGG